rnacentral:lncRNA from 1 species
GGGGGAGAGGGAGGGGAAGGGGAGGGAGGGGGAGGGCUUAGGAGAGCGCGCAGGCGGGUACCCGGGCGUUGCAUGGUGUUAAGGGCGGGCAGGGCAUGUGAGGCAUGAGCCGGAGCGCGUGUGUGGGCAUGGAGGAUCGGUGUUGGGCUUUUGCGCGAGCUAAUGACUCCUGUCCUGAAACAGUAGAACCCCACUCCUGGUGGUCUUUGGGGUUGGUCAUGGCUACCCCUGACCCCCCUGACGCCCCCUGGCACCUCACCCCGACUCGCCCCCGGCCUGCCCAUCAGGCUGUGGGAUGGUGUGGCCUGGCUGGCCUACGUCAUCACGGCUGUGGGCGCCGGAGCAGUCAACCUGGCGGGUGGGUGGGGCUCGGGGGCGGGCUCGUGGGUGGGGCUCGUGUGUGUGUGGGGGUUAACUUUGAACCAAUCCCGUAAGGAAACAGUCGCGCUGCAAGGAGAAACUGCAGCCGCAUAUGCGAGCUGUGGUACAUCACCAUAGGUAGUCGGUCGGGCUUGGGCAGCGUAGCAGCAGGUGGAAGGAGCAGUCCAGAGCAGCUCCGAAGUCAUUUCAGCAGUGCGAGCCGCGCGCGGACCCCGUCGCCCAUCUAGUUGCAAAUCUAUACUAACAUACUCACCUGUACGUGAACGGAGGAGCGCCAGGUAGAAGCGUCCAACAGCAAAGGCGAAGACGCACAUGUAGGAACGUGGCAUGGCGGCGAGCGUUAGCAGUAAUCGCGGGACAGGGAAAGCAAGGCAGUACAUGGGACCCCACGCGCGG